rnacentral:rRNA from 1 species
AGUGAACGCUGGCGGCGUGCCUAAUACAUGCAAGUCGAACGCGAAAGUCCUUCGGGAUGAGUAAAGUGGCGCACGGGUGAGUAAUGCAUGAGAACAUGCCCUUAGAUGGGGAAUAACGUUUGGAAACGAACGCUAAUACCGCAUAAUCUCGAGAGAGUAAAGGUGGCGCCGCCAGGGCUACCGUCUAAGGAUUGGCCCAUGUCCCAUUAGCUAGUUGGCGGGGUAGUGGCCCACCAAGGCAACGAUGGGUAUGUGGUCUGAGAGGAUGAUCACACACACUGGAACUGAGACACGGUCCAGACUCCUACGGGAGGCAGCAGUAGGGAAUAUUGCACAAUGGGGGAAACCCUGAUGCAGCAACGCCGCGUGAGUGAAGAAGGCCCUUGGGUCGUAAAGCUCUUUAGCGAGGGAAGAGGGUAGAUACGGUGAAUAAUCGUGUUUGCUGACGGUACCUCGAGAAUAAGCACCGGCAAAUUUCGUGCCAGCAGCCGCGGUAA